GGAAUGAUGUGGACAUAUCAGGAAGGGAAGUGGGGUAUGGAAUUCUCUUCAAAGUCUGCAGACAUAAUCAUGCGCGCGUAUAGGCCUCGUAAUGCUGCGUGCUCAGAGCGGGCGUAGAAGCUUAAUGCACUAUCAAAAAGCGCACAGAGAUCCCUAAUUUCAAUAACCUCCUGGUUAACACUGCACGAUUCACAGAAUAAGUCAAGGUUAUAUUAUGGGUUUUACGCAAAUAAAGAUGAUAACAACCGUUUAGGAGUUGUAUCAUUUGUAAGUUAUACCAAUUGCGGCACCUCCAACGCGUGUUACGACUACCUAACUUCCCUAUUCCUGAAAACUUCUUGGACCUUCACUGUCGAGGGCCGUGCCGAUCCCCGUUGAUAACGUGGCCAGAGCGCCGCUCGGACAAAGAGCGAGAGAGCGUAGUCCUGGAAUAGAAUUUUUUACGUCAUCUCGCCUUGGGGCCGCGAUAUUUUUUUUUGUGCUAUGCCUUUCGCUCGCUUCUACGCCGAUCUUAUCAUCCACCGCUCGCGGCCGCAUCGAUAGCUCGGGCGGUGAGGUCGAAGAGUCGCUUUGACCAUAGACGAGAAGCGAACAAGCGAGGAAAGGUAACGGCAUCGGGAAAAUGGCAUAACUAUACAAAAUCGCGGCCCCAUGAGUGGACGCGAGUGAGCGCCUAGACCGCGUGGCAGUUCCGGCUGUACCCGCCGGCUCUGACUCGAGCGGCUCCGUGCGUGCUCUCGACCGAGCGAAUGGUGAGCGCGCGCGUCGGCGUUGCAGCGCCAUCGUGCUCUCGUUCCCGGUGUGCGCGGCGCUCAUGCUGGUCACCAACACCAUCAUGCUCGUGUCGCUCAGCAUCACGAACUUCGCCUGUCGGCCGUACGAGAACAUCGUCAUCUCCUGGCCGGGCAGAAUCGUCGACGUCAUGGUGCUCGACGACACGUUCGACAUGUUCUGGCCAAGGAAAACCAGGGGCCGCUGGUUCGGCAGCUUUCUGGCUGGGACGACUUUACAGAAAUGCAGGACAGGCAGGGUUUUCGACGUCAUAGGGGGCGACUAUAAGCUUGCCGUCGAGGGGUACAGCGAAUACAUGGAUAACCUGCACCACCUGAUGAUAUCUAUAACCGUCGAUCCACGCCUCAUAUUCCCGACCACCGGUCCUCCUGAAGUCGGAACAUUCUACGACGACAUGAAGGACAAACUUUGGAACAAGGUCGGCGACAUGGUCGAAGGGUACAUAAAAUCCCUCGCACGUGGCACCUUGAAUAUGCGAACGAAUUUGUCAAAGUUUAACCCGGACUGCCUUCUUGCCUACGAUGGAUACGAAGAAGGAAUUGGCUUCAUAUGCGAAGGAAUCAUUCGCAACGUCAACUCCUUCUGGACGUCCCUGGCCUUCUGCCUCUACAUGUUCACCCUGCUGGGCACCCUGUCUCACUUUAUAUCCAAGUAUUUCCUGCGCAUGGACAAUUACACCUACGAUGGCUCCGAGGUCGAGUCACUCACAAGCACGUCCGAAAUAAGCUCGAACCCUGAGAAGUCACCCGAAGUUGGUCCGGAAUCCGACAGAAGCGGAAGAAUCGAACAAGAAGUCCCCGAAGCUGGUGAUAAAACCGAAUACGAGCACACGACUGGCACGGACAUGAGGAAGUCCGCAUCAUCUGAGGACACAGAUGAAAGCCGUAAGUCUGAGAAGUCUGACAAGGCUGAGAAGGGACCCAAAUGGCGGUAAGAAGGAUGGUCACGUCGUGUAGGUCACGUAGUGUCUACUAUAUAUUUAUACUCAUUCACAAUUCUUCUUCUUUUUUCUAUUUCUUAGGAGAGGAAGAAGGUAAGAAGUUGUUAAGAACAGUGCGAAAUAUAACGGUUUGUUAAAGGUUUAAUGUAAAAUACUCCGACAAAGAGCAGCAUGCCGUGCUUGAAUCUUUGAAAAAGUCCAUAAUUAGACGCAUGUCAGCCGAAAGGAAUGAAUGCACGCUCGCGCGCUCGUCUUAGUAGCGGAAGUUGCAUGCAUCUUUGCUGUUUUGAGCGAAAAGUUGUUAGGCGAAUGUUUAACUAACGUGACAGUUCAAGGUCUCAAGUCUCUCUAUUGUCAUGAGCACAAUUCACAAAUGCCUUCUUAUAACUUGUUUAUAACUUCUUAAUCCUUGUUUGUUUGUUCGUUCGUUCGUCGACGCGGCGACAGGAAAAGUCAAGCUGGGUAAGCUCACAAAUUUUGUACAGUUUUACUGAUCGUGCGCGCAAGAUAACGUUGUGGUUACGCCUGGUCCCAUUUGCAGAGCUCUUCAAGCGUCUACACUACAGAGGUUGGAACUCGGAGACAUACCGGAAGAUCCUGCGCCAGGGAUGCAGCACGUGGUGACCGUGUCCUCCAUGUCCAUUUCAUCGACGCGCAACUUCCGACCAAAAUGAAGGCAGCCGAGUACGCGCCGAGGCUGCAUCACAUGUGCUGUCUCGCGAAGCAGUUCAAGCAACCAAAUCUGCGUCGUGUAAAAAGAAGGACAUACCGUAAUCGUUUUGCUCGAAAUAUAAUCGUCAGUCGUGCCUUUCUUGUGGUACCAGCUCACGAUGAAGACCAAGCUCACGAUUAAGCGCCCGCGGUUACCUGCGAUACGUGCAAUUCGCGAGUGUUUCGUGUGUAUGCAGAUUUUAUGUUCGCGCGUCGUACGUCAUGUAGCAUUCCCGGAGCCGUAGAAACGGGGCGGGAAUCCUGAUGUGCGAAAAAUAACGACGCGAUAAGCUGCGUUUUUUUUUUUAAUCCGACAGAAUGUUUCCGCUAUUACGACAGUAUUUUUAAUCUAAAGUAUGUUCCCUUUUUUUUUUUUUUUUGGCUAGGAUAGCAAAGCGACGAAAACAGCGUUUGUGAUUAAUCUGAGACCCCGUAUUCAGAACUCGAGUACAAAACUACACUUCGCAGCGUACCAACUGUCGCAUCUGUGCCUACGUUGAACUUCGUGGGAAGAUGGACGAGGCCAAGGAAGUGCCCUUCUACGCCAUCCAGUUUUCCGUGAAGGGUGUAUACGAAUUCUCGCGUGUAAUCAUUAGCUUGUGCAUAUGCAUUCGCAGAGGUCACUCAAAUCUGAAUAAAGGUUGCUAGAAACUUUGAGAACGCUCCGUUGCUGAAGAUUAGUCAGGGCAAGUUGUUAAAAUGGCAAAGACAGAAAAUUUAAAAAAAAGAAAUUACGCGAUUUAGGCAGGUGCACAAAAAACGACGACACUAUGUUGCUACUUCCGCGGCGCCCGCCAACUUAGGUUACCAAGCUUUAUUGCUUUGGUUACAUUUUACCAAAGCAAUAAACUAGCAUUUUACUAUACAAUGUUUAGUGCUCUCAGUAGUACGUAAACACACAAUGCUUUCUCGGUUGCUGCAAUGUUACUUGAAUGAAAUUUAUAAAAUGAUCGUGGUGACUA